rnacentral:rRNA from 1 species
AUUGAACGCUGGCGGCAGGCCUAACACAUGCAAGUCGAACGAGUGGCGGACGGGUGAGUAAUGUCUGGGCAACUGCCCGAUGGAGGGUGAUCCCUACUGGAAAAGGAAGCUCAUACCGCAUACCAGCGGCUGUGCCCAGAUGGGAGUAGCUAGUAGGUGGGGUAACGGCUCACCUAGGCGCCGAUCCCUAGCUGGUCUGAGAGGAGGACCGGCCACACUGGACCUGAGACACGGGCCCGAAUCCUACGGGAGACAGCAGUGGGGAAUAUUGCACAAUGGGCGCAAGCCUGAUGCAGCCAUGCCGCGUGGAUGAAGAAGGACAUCGGGUUGUAAAGUACUUUCAGCGAGGAGGCGUUACUCGCAGAAGAAGCACCGGCUAACUCCGUGCCAGCAGCCGCGGUAAUUC